AUGAACUUGCAAACACUAUAUUAAAUAUCCUUAAUACAAUAGUUUAAAAGUCGACCUGCAGAACAACUAUAAGUUAUUCAAAGGAAAGAACUGGUCACCUAAUUUAAAUGUGCUUCAGUCAAUCUAACAGCUUGAUAGAAGUUGUCAUCUUGGAUAAGACCCUUCUUUUGCUACCUGGGACUCCUCUUUUCCCACCAAAAAGGUAAAAUGGAUAUUCUUGAUU
rnacentral:lncRNA from 1 species